rnacentral:rRNA from 1 species
CACGUAGGCGGCUUGGUAUGUCGGGUGUGAAAUCCCCGGGCUCAACCUGGGAACUGCAUCCGAAACUGCCUUGCUCGAGUAUGGGAGAGGGAAGUGGAAUUUCCGGUGUAGCGGUGAAAUGCGUAGAUAUCGGAAGGAACAUCAGUGGCGAAGGCGACCUCCUGGACCAAUACUGACGCUCAGGUGCGAAAGCAUGGGGAGCAAACA